CUGGAUAGGAGGGCCUUGAUCCCACAAAANCUUAG
rnacentral:tRNA from 1 species